rnacentral:snRNA from 1 species
CAUCUGUGGUUUCUCGUCAUAUUGUAUAAAUCUUUCACCUUCUACUAAAGAUUUCCUUGGUGUGUUACUUCAGAAUGUCUGAACUGGCAUCGAUUAAAGUUUCAGAACCUUUAUUAGAGGUU